rnacentral:rRNA from 1 species
UACAGAGGUCUCAAGCGUUGUUCGGAUUCAUUGGGCGUAAAGGGUGCGUAGGUGGCGCUGUAAGUCGGGUGUGAAAUUUCGGAGCUUAACUCCGAAACUGCAUUCGAUACUGCGGUGCUUGAGGACUGGAGAGGAGACUGGAAUUCAUGGUGUAGCAGUGAAAUGCGUAGAGAUCAUGAGGAAGACCAGUGGCGAAGGCGGGUCUCUGGACAGUACCUGACACUGAGGCACGAAGGCCAGGGGAGCAAACAGG